rfam:Schistosoma rodhaini strain Burundi genome assembly, scaffold: SROB_scaffold0000464
ACUCAGCUGACGAGUCCCAAAUAGGAAGAAACGAGGGUCCUGGAU